GACGAACGCUGGCGGCGUGCUUAACACAUGCAAGUCGAACGGAAAGGCCCUGCUUUUGUGGGGUGCUCGAGUGGCGAACGGGUGAGUAACACGUGAGUAACCUGCCCUUGACUUUGGGAUAACUUCAGGAAACUGGGGCUAAUACCGGAUAGGAGCUCCUGCUGCAUGGUGGGGGUUGGAAAGUUUCGGCGGUUGGGGAUGGACUCGCGGCUUAUCAGCUUGUUGGUGGGGUAGUGGCUUACCAAGGCUUUGACGGGUAGCCGGCCUGAGAGGGUGAACGGCCACAUUGGGACUGGGAUACGGCCCAGACUCCUACGGGAGGCAGCAGUGGGGAAUAUUGCAAAAUGGGCGGAAGCCUGAUGCAGCAACGCCGCGUGCGGGAUGACGGCCUUCGGGUUGUAAACCGCUUUCGCCUGUGACGAAGCGUGAGUGACGGUAAUGGGUAAAGAAGCACCGGCUAACUACGUG
rnacentral:rRNA from 1 species